UCAUACAUGCAAGUCGAGCGCACCGCAAGGUGAGCGGCGAACGGGUGAGUAACGCGUGAACAAUCUGCCUCAAAGUGGGGGAUAACCAUUCCAACGGAUGGCUAAUACCGCAUAGGGUUUGGAAGUGGCAUCACUUCUUUACGAAAGCAUUCAUGCGCUUUGAGAUGAGUUCGCGUCCCAUUAGCUAGUUGGCGGGGUAACGGCCCACCAAGGCAACGAUGGGUAGCCGGCCUGAGAGGGUGUCCGGCCACAUUGGGACUGAGAUACGGCCCAGACUCCUACGGGAGGCAGCAGUAGGGAAUUUUGCGCAAUGGGGGAAACCCUGACGCAGCAACGCCAUGUGUGGGAUGAAGCAUUUCGGUGUGUAAACCACUGUCGGCAGGGAAUAAAGCCCACAUUUAUGUGGGGGUGAAUGUACCUGCAGAGGAAGCCCCGGCUAACUUCGUGCCAGCAGCCGCGGUAAUACGAGGGGGGCAAGUGUUGUUCGGAAUCACUGGGCGUAAAGGGAGCGUAGGCGGAUGUUUAAGUUGGAUGUUUAAAACCGGGGCCCAACCUCGGAGCGGCAUCCAAAACUGGACGUCUUGAAUGGAACAGAGGCUAGUGGAAUUGGGGGUGUAGCGGUGGAAUGCGUAGAGAUCCCCAAGAACACCAAUUGCGAAGGCAGCUAGCUGGGUUCACAUUGACGCUGAGGCUCGAAAGCAUGGGGAGCAAACAGGAUUAGAUACCCUGGUAGUCCAUGCCGUAAACGAUGAACACUAUGUUUCGGACUCGUCAACGGUUCGGAGCCGCAGCUAACGCGUUAAGUGUUCCGCCUGGGGAAUACGGUCGCAAGACUGAAACUCAAAGGAAUUGACGGGGGCCCGCACAAGCGGUGGAGCAUGUGUUUAAUUCGACGCAACGCGCAGAACCUUACCAG
rnacentral:rRNA from 1 species